rnacentral:misc_RNA from 1 species
UCCUCGCGAUUCUGGGGCUGCGUCGAUUUCCCGAGCAUUUGGCGCGAGUGCGAAACAUUUCAAAAAUUGCCCCAUUUGCGUGAGAGAGCUGCCCGAAAAAUGUUGGACGCACUGCAUCAAGGCGGGCCGGGCCCCUGAAAACCAAAAGAGAAAUUGAAAUAGAUAUCAAUAAAUAAUUAAAUGUUAAAUAAUUAAAUGAUAGUGCAAGUAAUUUGGGCAUAAGCCAGAUCAAGCAAAAAAAAAAAGCGGAGUGGAGAAUGCCGAUGAAGAAGGUGACGGUGAAGGAGUACGAUUCGCAGGAUGAGGCCAGCACCGAGCUGCUGGAGAAGCUCAAGCACCUGGACCGCCGUGUGGAUGCCGCCGAGGGCGGGGGCGUGGCCAAGGGAGCGGGCGGCGGACGGCGGAGGAGCACCGCCUGCUGGCAGUCGGUGAAGUGGAAGUCGGCGCUCAAUCACAUCGGACUGCUCGUCUCCCUGUCCAUUUACUGCGGCGUGGGCGGAUUGAUAUUUCGCCAUUUGGAACGUCCUGCGGAGGUGGAGCGUCUGUCGCAUCUGAAGGAUGUUGUGAAAACGCACAGAGAGCGCUUUCUGCACACCAUACUGAACAACACCGAAGUGCACAAUCUCGACGAGCUGUUGUCCUUCGAGCUGGCCAAAUACGAAGCGGCCGUUCAACAGGCGGCUGAGGGGGGGCUACUCAUUGUGGCCGAUAAAGACUUUCCAGAGCCCUACGAGCGAUGGAGCAUUCUGCAAGCUGUGUUCUUCUCAUCGACUGUGUUAACCACCAUAGGCUAUGGCAAUAUUGUGCCAGUGACGACCGGUGGUCGGGUAUUUUGCAUUUGUUUCGCCCUUAUUGGCAUCCCGUUCACACUCACCGUGAUUGCCGAUUGGGGUCGACUGUUUGCUACCGCAGUCUCUGUGUUUGGCAAACACAUGCCCAGCAAACCAAAGUUUACCAAUUUCAUUGGCAAAACCUGGUUCUAUGCCAUUUUGGCCGUGGGCUUUCUCGGCGUUUACUUGGCCGCCGGUGCUGGUCUUCUCCUGCUGUGGGAAGAUGAUUGGACAUUCUUCGAUGGCUUCUACUUUUGUUUCAUCACCAUGACAACCAUCGGAUUCGGUGAUUUGGUGCCAAGUAUGAGAAACCCAACUACAUGCUGCUCUGCACAUUGUACAUCCUCAUUGGCCUGGCCCUGACAUCGACCAUCAUUGAGCUGGUGCGACGGCAAUAUGCCACCAGUUGGGCCAAACUGCAGGAGCUAUCUGGUCCCAUGGCGGAAACUUUACGUCGCUUGGGCGAAACAGCGGGCACAGGACUCGAUUACACAGCCCUGCAAAAGGUCC